AUAGAUAUACAGUAUCAAAUCCUACGCAGCCAGCCUCUACACUCCAACUCCGUCCAACCCUACACUCCAUGUGGGGAUAUAAUCCACCCACCCAUCCCUACACUCCAAAUAGUACCGAAUACGGCACUAGACAGUAGUUGCAGCUGAGCUGCUAGUAAGUUAGGCUAAAAGCCUUUCAGUACACUUUCUCCAAUCAAUAUCAAUCCCCA
rnacentral:lncRNA from 1 species